rnacentral:lncRNA from 13 species
UGAGACACAGCUUCUGUGUUUUGGUGGCUGUGGUAUUAACAGCAAGCUUAAGUUAUUAAACCGAGCAGCUUUAAUCCCCGAGGUCUCCUGGAGCAGUAGGGAUUAAUGUAUUUUUACUCCAGAGCCAAUGUAGCUAUUCCGAUGCUCUAAGAUCUGCUCUCUGCAAUGCCCAAACUGACCCCAGUUGCCUUUCUCUAGGCCUGCUUCUUCACCAUGGGAGAAGUGAUGGAAUUCUACUUGGAGAUUGACCCUGUCACCUUGAACCUGAUCAUCCUAGUUGCGAGCUACAUCAUCUUGCUCCUGGUCUUCCUCAUCUCCUGCAUCCUAUAUGACUGCCGAGGCAAGGAUCCCAGUAAGGAGUAUGCGCCGGAGGCCACUCUGGAGACCCAGCCCUCCAUCCGACUGCUGGUGAUGCAGCCAAGUGCCCCAGGGGCCCACUGGCCAAAGGGGCCUGGCCUUCCUUUGGGGGAUCCCACUCCACUAGGGAAGAAAAGCACAAUGGUAUGAGGCUGGCUAAGGGACACUGGGGAGAGACCCUAGACUUUCCGUAGAGACAAACUGCUCCCUAUCAUGGCUCCAAUUCUCUCAGCACAUGUCCUGCAUGGUAAAGAAAGUGAGGACUCUGUCUUACCUGCUAUUUUCUCGUCACCUACUUUAUGAAAAAAGCAAUGGUUUAAGGAAGGAAAUACGCCCAGAAGAAACUAUGAUUUCUUCCCAAGAGUGUUCGGCAUCAAAGCUAAGAGAAAGAAAGAGAAGAACAAAAAAACAGGAACUGAGAGACAGGAUCUCACCAUGUUGCCCAUGCUGGUCUCAAACUCCUGGGCUCAAACAAUCCACCUGCCUUGGCCUCCCAAAGUCCUGUGAUUACAGACAUGAGCCACCAUGCCCAGCUUCAAAUAUCCUUGAUGGGAAAAUUGUACCCUUCGCUGAGGAAAGAGAUGCUUCUUCAGUUAAACUUGAUUCUUCAAGUCAUAAAGGGAUAGAAGAUGAGCAUCCAAGUCCCUGUAAACCACUAUGUGUAGCUCCAUCACCUACGCUAGAGUGCAAUGGUAUGAUCAUAGCUCAUUGCAGCCUCAAACCCCUGGGCUCAAGCAAUCCUCCUGCCUCAGCCUCCCAAGUAGCUUGGACUACAGGUAAGAACUACAGGUGA